rnacentral:lncRNA from 1 species
UUAUAACAAUCUUGUAUCAUAAGAGCUAUUAUCCAAACAUUGUAUAAUUCUUUAUUGCCUCCACUGUAUUCAUAAGCAUUGUAAAUUCAAACUAAAUUUAAAAGCAAUGUAAAGACUAAGUUUUGACAUCUAAUGUACGAAUUAAGGAUCCCUGUUGAGUAUAAAGAGUCAAGUGACAACACAGAAUAAGAUAAUCCCUAAGCUUAUAUAAUAAGAACAUUUGAUGUAUACCACUGAUUGUAUAGUCUAAGGGUCGUGGAAAUUAGGAAAAUGAGGAACAUUGAAGUUUAAAAUGUAAGAUUGCAACUUUACCAUUGAACAAUCAUUCAACUGGUUUACAAAUAUUGGUUAUAUAAGACUCCAUAAGGACUGAGGACCAAGCUUUUAGCUUAAAAAUGCAAGAUAUGUCUUUCUUAUUCUAAAAACAUCCUUCGCCACUGAUAGAAAAUGAAGAUUCAAGCGACAACAGAUAAUAAGAAAUACUUGAUGUAGCGCCAUGCUCGUAUCGUCUGAGGGUAAGUAUAAAUAGCCAGACUCAGUAUUUUGGUGCUCAAAAACCUUUACAACAGUCGAGUCAACUAAUCAAAAUCUUCAAAGAAUUAGAUAACAAAUGCAAAAGCAAACAGCAAUCCUCUUACUGUUCUGUAAAUUUUCUCAAUUAUAAGUAGCACCUUGUUCUGUUUAACCAAGUUCAGAAAAACAGAGAAGACAAUUAAAUGUAUCCUACAAAUUUAAACAUGUCACUGCCAUCUCUCCAAAACUAUGGCCUGCUAUUUUAGGGCAAAUAUCAUACAGGUCUUAUGCAAAAAAAGGCAAAAAAAAUGUUCAUGAUUAUACUUUUCCAUAUAACCUUUUCUAAGAAGCAAUUAGUGCCACUUUAAUGUUAUUUUCAAAUCAGCAGAUGCCACACCCUAGCUCCAUUCUAUUAUAGUACUAGGGUUCCACCAUUAGAGUGGAAGUUCAUGGAAAUUAGGCAAAUGCAACAGGGCAGACAGUAACAACACAUAAAGCUAAGGAACAUGAUUGUAGUUUUAUAAAAUGUGAUCGAUGUAUUUCUUAUUCACAAAACAUCCUUUGCCGCUGAUUUAACAUGAAUAGUCAAGUCGCAACAGGUAAUAAGAAAGCCCUUAAUGUAGCACCAUGCUCGUAUAGUCUGACGAUAGUAACGACAGACCAUGUAUUUUGGUGCUCAAAUCCUUCCCAUUAGUCAGAUCAAAACUUCCAACUGAAAAUACCCAAAAAAACCCUAAACAAAGUUUAACUUGUUUUUCCAACUAAGUAGAUAAUUACAGUAGGACAGCAUUGUAUUCAUAUUUAUAUAAUUCGAGACACUCCAACCAUAUCAUCAUAACAAAUACUGAUGAUCAAUGAGCAAUCACUUUGGCAAUCCCAAGGAAGGUCCUAACUAAAUGAGGUUGUAAGGAGCAUUAUGUUAAAGCUAAAAUAGAUACAAUGUACUCAUAUUACAAUUUAUACACCCAAGACAGCUUAAUAAUAUUCUCUCUAUUCUUUUUAUGAGGAAAAGUAAGGUAUUCUCAUUAAUAUCAGCACAACAUAUCGAGACCACUUAGUAAAAUGUAUAACAAGAUUAACAAAAAUAUCACUCUAACUAGCAUCAAUCAGAGAACUUUGAAGGCAUAAAAUAUGUUUCUUCAACAUAGAAUUUCAGCUAAUAGUUCCUCAUCAUUUUGCUUUGCCAAGUUUAAAUAAAUCUGCUCUAAAAUAAAGAAAUAUGCAAACAAGUAUUUCGAAUAACUAACCAGCUCCCUCCAUUCAAUUUAACUGUUUGACUUUAGUCAAAAUCACUAAAUUUGACAAACAAAACUACUCAAUAUUCCACUUAAUACUUUACAAUUUUUUUGGUAGAACUAUAAUAGUUACCUAUUGGGGGGGGGGGGGAAUUGAGCAAUGCAAUCAGAGAACUUUGAAGGCUUAAUAUGCAAAUUCAACAUACAAUUCAGCUUAUAGAUUCUCAUCAUUUUGCUUGCAUAUUUUAAAUUCAACAAAAACAAAAAAUUUAAACUAUAACAAACUUUUUUUUGGCAAAAUAAAGCUGAAUAAAUGGCUAAAUUAUUCAGCCAAAAGUUUUGUCAAAAAAAUUAGCUUUGCACCAGAAAGUACCUUAGCUCGUAUUUUCUCUGCAAUAACAAACUUUAUAUUGCAAAGGGCUAUUUGGUGCACACUAUAUUCCACGCACUACUCUGUCUCUGUGUGUGUGUGUGUGUUUUGUGUGUGUGUGUGUGUGUGUGUGUGUGUGUGUGUGGAAAUUACAAGCACUUUACUACAAUACACAUAAUUCUUAUGCUCUAUUUUUUUCUAAGUUCUUUCGACAUUUGUGAUUGCUGGAAGCCAUGGCUGCGAGCUCUUUGAACGUUGACG